rnacentral:rRNA from 1 species
UACGUAGGGCGCAAGCGUUGUCCGGAAUUAUUGGGCGUAAAGAGCUCGUAGGCGGUUUGUCGCGUCUGCUGUGAAAACCUAAGGCUCAACCUUGGGCUUGCAGUGGGUACGGGCAGACUAGAGUGCGGUAGGGGUGACUGGAAUUCCUGGUGUAGCGGUGGAAUGCGCAGAUAUCAGGAGGAACACCGGUGGCGAAGGCGGGUCUCUGGGCCGUAAACUGA